rnacentral:tmRNA from 1 species
GGGGAUGUAAUUGUUUUGACGUGGCCGCUCUUUAGUAAGUGCAGACCGUCAUCGGUUCUACGGACGCAAAUCAGGACCAAAAAAUUAAGUGCCAACUUCGUUCGCACUAAAGUUGCUCAAGUCGCUUCAUUCUUCUCAGGCCUCGCCGAAGAAGCUAUGCUCGCUUUUGCAGCUCCAGCUACUGUGGCCGUCUAAGCUAGUCUUAGAUACCCGUUAGCGGCAUUCACCACUAUCACUCUCACUGACGGUGGGUGGUGGGUGACAACUCAGUCAGUGUGUCAGCCAGAGCGGUUCGGACCCCGCUCCAGCUAGAGCUUUUGGUCCGGGUGUUUAAAGAUUGGUUUGUCCCUUUUCCGCUUUAAACUUCAACCAAAAACGUGACUUUGUCUGGAGGACUUAUUAUUGACUGGAUUACGGACGGGGGCUCACUGCCCCCCAUCUCCACUU